UGAAAGUUGUGAGCGGUUCACGGCGGAUGUCGUUGGUUCGUGGCCGGAGAAGAAUGAAGGAUAGGUUUUUUCAUGGAUUUGUGAUGGCACGGUGGAAAAGAAUGGAGGUAACGACGGUUGGGGUUUGCCGGCGAGGUUGUUGUGAGGCAAAGGAAGGUGGGUUUCCUGCGGCGUGAGGGAGAAGAUGAUGUUGAAGAUGGUGAUG
rnacentral:lncRNA from 1 species